rnacentral:lncRNA from 1 species
GUAGAGACAGGGUCUCAUUUUGUUGCCCAGGCUGGCCUUGAACUCCUGGGCUCAAACUGUCCUCCUGCCUCGGCCUCCCAAAAUGCUGGGAUUACAGGUGUGAGCCAUGGCACCUGAUAUCACUUUUCUUUAUAGUUAAAACUUCCCCUACAGAAGAUAUAAUCUUAUAAUUGUUGUUACCUCUUCCUCCAUGACAUAGGUGAGCAGUUUCCAGUCCCACUCCACUGUCUUGGCAUUGGCUGGAUGUAGCCUGAAAGUCAAGUGAAAUCAAUUAGAAUUAUGGAGAAUUUAGCGGAAGAAGGGAUAGGAUCUGAAGGUGAUAGAAGGAAGAAGCCUCUUCCUAUCCUCCAUUAUCCUCCAUGCUCUUGCUCACUUUCUGGUAUCAUACCAUGUCAAUCUGAGAGUAGUGGAACUUCAUUGUUUUUUGCUACCCAGUAUCCAGUCCCCUUUUGGAAAGCUUUAGUACUAUAAUUUUGUCUUAAGAAACCAACUCUUCACUACUCUUAACCAACUAGUUUUACCUACCAGAACCCCAAAAUGAAGUAUGUGGCUUUUUUAGCCAAUCGUGCUGUUCUACCCCUCAGUUCACGGUGAUUGGCUCAAAGAUAUGGUCAUGUCUCUCAUUAGGCCAAUUAAAUCCUGCAAGACUCAAUUUCAGAACUCUUGGGUGACUAUAAAGGAAGCAGACACUCUUUCCCACUGGAAGUGUCAUAAAAGCCUGAGGCUGAGAGGCUACCACAUGCAGCCCCAAAACAGAACUGAGGCUGAGAGGCUACCACAUGCAGCCCCAAAACAGAACUGAGGCUGAGAGGCUACCACAUGCGGCCCCAAACAGAACUGAGGCUGAGAGGCUACCACAUGCGGCCCCAAAACAGAACUGAGGCUGAGAGGCUACCACAUGCGGCCCCAAAACAGAACUGAGGCUGAGAGGCUACCACAUGCAGCCCCAAACAGAACCGAAGUAGAGCUGCAGAAUGAACCCUGGUAACCAUUUUUGUAUACUGAAUCAAGUCACAUCUCACUCCUCGGUUUCUAGUAACACGAGCCAUUAAAUUCUCUUUUAGCAGUAGUUAAGGUCUGUUUGGACUGGGUUUCCUAUCAUUUGCAAUUCAAAUAACACUAAUAUGCUAAGUCACCCACUGUAACGGUUAGGUUAAAAAAGCCUGUCAAGAGAAAGCUAUGCCCUGAGUCCAAGAUCCCUAGAAGAUUCGCCAACAGCCAGAGGUUACGGUUCAUACUGUUGAAUUUUCAUGAGAAGCAUGUAGGCCUCCUUUAGGACAUCCACAGUCUCAGAGCCACUGAGCAAGAUUUUCUGGAUGAUGUGAGCCACGAUUUCUCUUGGUGGGUAAUGCUGGGGUGACACAAAGUCCAUCAAAAACUGCACAGUCCCCAGAGGAAAAUUCUCUUCAAUGGUAUUUGUUACCAUUCUUAGUCUUCGAUGAGGGAUGGGUUCUAAUUUUUGACCCUUGUUCUGUAGAGAUUAAAAAGAAGGAAAUUAGGAGGGAUUUCUUUUCUUUUUUUUUUUUUUUUUUUUUUGAGACGGAGUCUUGCUCUGUUCCCCAGGCUGGAGUGCAGCUUGGAGAGGACAGAGCUGAGAUAUCCAUAGGCAUGUCACGGUUCUGUACAUCAUUCUGGGUAAAGUCAGGCCUGUCUCCUGGUAAGUGAGGGAUGUCUCUAGGUGAGUGUGUCACGUCCCCUGAUGAGUGUGGCAUGUCUCCAGGUGAAUGUAACACAUCUCCCGGUAAGUGUGGCAUGCCCCCUGGUGACUGUGGUGCAUCUGGUGACGGUGAAACAUCACUUGGUGACUGUGGCACAUCUCCUGGUGACCGUGGCAUGUCUUGCAGGUAUGCCACAUCUUGUGGAUGUAAUAUGCUUUGAGGCAGCCCUGGCACAUCUUGAGGUAGGCCCAGAGAGUCUUGAGGUGGGCCUGGGAUAUUCUGCCGAGGGCAUGGCACUUCUUGAGGUGGGUGAGUUAGAGCUGGUAGUUGGCACUGCAUGGUUUGUGAUGGGCAUGACAAGGCUCGUGGUGGGCAUGAGGAGGCUCGUGGUGGACAUGGUGAGGCUCUCGGUGGGCAUGGCAAAGGUCGCAGGGGGCACGGCAAGGCCUGUGGUGGGCGAGAUACAUCUUGCUGUGGGCAUGGCAAGGGUGCUUUUUGAUUGCUGCUGCUGCUGCUGCUCCUACUAUUAUUGCUUGUUGGGGAGAGGGAGCUAACAUCUGAAGACAGCUGUAGACUUGCCAAGAAGCUGAGGUUACCUGUGAAUGUGGCUGAGCUACAAUUAGGCUCUGUUGGAUAAACAGAGCCUCCACUGAUGGAUGUAGCGGGUGGGGGACCUACAAAGGUGUUUUCUUCCACUAGGUCCAAAUCUACAGGAUCACUGUUAAUGAUUCUCCGUGCUGUAGGCUGAGAGCUUCUGUCCACGUGCCCUUCCAUCACCGCUUUGCCAGAGAGGCUGGCACAUGUCUGAAGACUGGUUGGCUCCUUCUGGGAAGGAGUGACAGGUUCUAAAGUUAAGUCAAGAGUGGCAAUAGGUCUAUUUUCUCCCUCAGCUCUUGUCAGGUCAAUCACAUACAGUCCACUGCGAUCUUUUGUCCUUGGUCUGGUCUCUCUAGUUAAGUCAAUGAAGUCCUGUUGAAGGAUUGUGUGAAGAAAAGAGGUCAAGAUGGGAGUAUUAGCUUUAUCUGAGAUGACUUAAGUCUUAGCUUUUAAGGAUAAGCAUUACUUUACCAUUUCACCUCACUGAUAAGUUACACAUCUUGUGUAACAUAAGCAAUAGUAUUGCCAAAGCUGUCAAUUUCUAUACCUUCUUAAAUUCUCCAAAUGCCACAUACGCAUGACUAGGAUCACAGUGGGAUUUUUUUUUUUUCUGGUCCAAGGAGGACAGGGGAGUAGUAGGAGAUAUUCCAACCUUAAGUCAUAAAGUCAAAAGCAACCUUUGUUUGGAAGGUCAAAUACACAGGAUAACCUACAACAAAAACUAAAUAAGAAGUGAAGCAAAUGUGAAAGAAUCUAUGUGCUAAGAACAUGUUGAGUAUUUUCACAUAUCUUUAAUUUUCACAAUGACCUGAUAAGGUAGGCAUUAUCAAUCCAUCAUACAGAUGGGGAAACUAGAGUUCAGAGGGGUUAGGUUAUCUACCUUAAGAUUAUACAGCUAAGUAGCAGAGACAGACAUUCAAACACAGAUCUGUCUCCUUCUUUCCCUGUGAGGGCCUAGGAAUGUACAACUUGAUUCAAUGUGUAAUCAACCUAGAAACAGAUAUGAAAGAUAAUAUAACAAGGGUAAUAAAACCAAUAGUGUAAGUCUGAGCCCUAAGUAAGUAAAUUAAUGAAAACUUCCGAUCUCCACUUCCAUUCCUUGGCAAACUGAUCAGGCUAUUCACAAAGCCUAAUGAUACAGUACAGAGGUAUUGUAAUCAACCUCUGUACCAUGAGCCUGG